UGCCGGGCCCGCGCCAUUUUGCUCUUCUGGUGCGGCAGAGACCGGUGCGGGGAUGCAGAGCCUGGCGGUGCUCUCAGCCACCGGGCGGGGCAACCCUCCCCUAUUGGGAACCUUCUAAAAUGUUGGCUAGUGCAGAGGAAUGAAAUAAAACAUGCCAGUGAGAACGAGGUAUGAUGGAGAGGAGGUUUUCUGUUGUGUCCAGUACAUUGUGCAUUAAGCACUUCAUGGAAGCACUAUCACAUGUAGAAGAAUACUUGUUACACACAAGUGGAUUUUCCUGAAAGCUAUAGUGCAUGAACAGUUUCUAGUAAUUGGAAUGUGAGGCAUCCUGAAGAUUUCCUGGCAACAGGAAUUACAACAGAUAGAGGAAAAUGGACCAAAAUGUAGGAACUUACUUUUAGAAGCUUUUAGCUUAUUCAGUGAUGAGCUGGACACUUUGUCAGAGCUGUCUGACAAAUGUGGAUGAUCAGUAACCAGGAAGAAGUUACACCUGAAAAGUUUUUGUGGCUCAGAGUGGGAUGCUGUGCUUUUACAACCUGCUGAAACAGCUGCUGCAACUUCGUUUAGUAGAUGCUGUUUUCAGAAACUGCAUAUAGACCAAAAUCACUGUCUGCAUAUCUAAAAUAGUGCCUUACUAAAAUAUUGAGCUGCCCUCUCUAGGAAGGGUGGUAGCAGCAAAAGUAGCAAAAUGGAUGUUGAGCAUUAAUGGGAGAAAGUAUAGAAGGUAAUGGUGUUAUGGAAGCAUAAACCUGAAACACUUGUAAGAAAGAAAAAUAUAAUGUCUGCAGAUCGCAUCACAGUUUGUAUCAGUUGAGGAACCAAGGAGUUGGGUUUUUAUUGACUGCCACUUAAGCAUGGAAAGACUAGUACUGCAACAGUGGAACUGCUCCUUGGGGAACACACUGGCAAUAUUAGCUGCUUGCAGUGUGGGGAAAAGAGGUCAGUGGUGGGAAAAGAGACCAUGUACAGUAGAACCUUGUACUUUAGACAGUCAGUUGAAAAGUACCAGUGCUGUAUCACAGUAGCAGCAUAUUUGCUGUAUUUGUCAAAUUGUCACUCUUCCGCAGAGGAAUGAAGGCUCAUAAAUUGGUCACCAAGUAAAUUGGAUUUUCAAGACAACUAUGUAUGACUCCAUCUGCCUUAAAAUGUCAAGCCCAAUUGUCAGAAACACUUUAUGAAGGAAGAAACACAAGAAUGGCAUAAUAACUAACAAUUAAAAGAGCUACAGUUACUGAAUCAUUUUGAAAUCCACCAAAAUACAUAAAAACAACCGUAAAGUCUGCAGCCAAAAAUAACAGCAUUGGGUGCUAGCAGCUCUCUAGAGAAAUGGAGAAAUUCCUGUAACUGGAGUGUGCCUGUGAUAAGUGACAAAUACCAUGUAAAACCCAAUUUUCUACCUGAGCAGUAUGAAGUGCAAAACACUACCAGGAACAGCACAUGAACUACUGAAAUUUAAAAUAAGUGUCCAAUAGAUUACUAAAAUGUAUGCUAAGGAACUGACAAAAUUCCAGGUGUGUAUUGCCUCACUGAGCAUCUCCUAUGGUUUGUUAUUGUUAAUAAGCAGUGGCCAGCUGCUUUUCAGCAAGCAGCUGUAAAUCAGUCUCUUGAAUGUUGGAAUCUUCAGAAAUUUACUACAGAACAGCUUUCCCUUCAUCUCUUUCAACAGGCUUUAUUUCUGUGUUUCUCAGAAUGGUAGGUAUUUCCAUGUGCCAUGUUUUGUACAUGCUUUCUCUUUAAUAAAGAUGAGGAUGUGAAAAACUU